rnacentral:lncRNA from 1 species
GAAGCUGGUUCAGAAAAUGGUGCGUCUAUGCUCUCCCAGUUCAGGUCAUCUUUGCAAAAAGGCUAGGCUCUUCAUUGAACCAUUCAUCCAAAACGUCUACAUAGCCAUGUCUGAUUGGGUCAGUGACAUCUCUGAGUUUGUAAAGCUUCUUGCAAGACUGUUAACAGUAUAAUUAGUAAAGCAGGACGAGUACUACCAAAAUUCCCAAAUACAUUCCAUCAUCUUUAUAUCUUCAGUUAGCAAGAAUAAAGCCCAUAAAUAAGCAAAAAUUGGAAGUAAUUUUGCAACAGCUAAAAUGUUCUGCCAUACAAAAUUGAGUAAUUGGAUCCCCAUCAGGAGUAGAUCAGAUCAUCAAGAAUUCAUACCAUGAGGUGAGCAGCUAGCAGUACUUGGCAAAACAGCCAAUGUCACGAGGGAAACAGAUGGCUUGAGGACAGCUGGUGACAGACGGGGAUGUGCCAACCUGGUGGCUGGAGGGCUCGACGCCACAGGCACUUCAACCCUCACACAUAGCGGGCUCCUUUUCAAAGUCGAGUGGCUGAUACAGUCCUUGAUCUCUCUAUAUCUCUAUCUAUCUAUAUGUCGGGGUAAAAAGCUUUCAUUAUCUAACAAACAAUCUAUAUGUGGGUGUGAAACGUGCAGAUCGAGGGAAGGAUAAAGUUAUGAACAGAACGAGCUGACAAAAAUGCUUAGCAAACCAGAUAAAGAAGCCCAAAUCCCUCACGAAUAUCAACAAAGGACAGGCAGCCAAAAAGGUGACGGAAAAUUUUCAAGUUUUAAGGUGGCAUGAUAACUAGCGAUUCCCCUAUUAUAUAAAGGACCAAAGAAAUUUGUCUAUUCUUCUAGCAGCAGGUCAUGCAUAGUAGUGACUAGCCACAACAGAGGGGAAUAUAUUAGUAUUAUGAACAGAAUUAAGAUAAGAAUCCUACGAACAAAGAGAAUGCUUUUUUGGCAUAUGAUACUCUGAUUCACAUAAGGCUGUAGGGAGUCACGUGAUAUUACGAUAAUAAUGGCACUGCAGUUUAUUUCACAACCUAUGGAAGUAAAUACCAACUUACAUCGGAAAAUGAUCUUACGGUCAUCAACACUCAACAGUGAGCCACAUAACUCAAUAAUCUAAAAUUGUGGUAAGGAGCUGACUGCCCUUGAGUCGUCAGUUAUAUCUGCUAAACAGAUAAAAAGAAGUAAAAUAUCGAUGCCCAUGAUUUAUGCACAUUAAGAAUGUACAUAACAUUUCUAUUUAAUGUGAAGAAAAAAUGAAGCCUGAAGGCUACUUUUAUUUUUACCAUUUGUACUUUGCCACAAAAUAACCACCAACUUCAGAGCUCAACCCAGGGAGUUGUCUAAGCAAUUCUAGAAUAUGGCUACGCUUGUACUUAUUGCAAUUUAGUUAGAUAAUACACAAGAACAAGCAAAGGAUUUGAUGAUAAGCACACUACAACGCAAAUAUUGCAGCGUAGAUGCAUAUGUUGUGCCAAAGGAAUAGCUAUCAAAGUAAGAAAUUGCUUUAUUGAUUAGGAAAAUUUGAAAAGGGGUUGAGAUUUUCAGUUUCCGGAUUUUACCUCGAGUCAACAGUAAAAGAUCUGCACUAGAAUGUGUAGAGAAACAAAAAUGAAGUCAAUGGAAAAUGAGGUACGUAAAAGGGUUAAAACUUUCAGUUUCAAGUUUUCAGCUUGAUUAAUGCAGCUUGAUGAUUAAUUUACAGUACUUGUACACUUGAACUCUAUUGGCUAUUAAUUGACAGAACCAAAGAGGCUAACAUGCAUAAUAGUCAUAAUGAAUGGCACAGUUGACUUACAACAAAAUCGAUGCAUAUGCAUGUAAUUCAAAUAAGUUUUGUAUACAAGUAACCCAAAUAUAUGUCGAGCAACUCUGAAUUUUGCAGCCUACGUAUAAGUCCAGUUUCAAAAUCCGCAAAUGAAAUUAAUUGACAUGUGUGAUUAAUCAGUAGUACUCCCUCUGUCUUAAAAAAACAAGGCGUCCUUGUUUUCCACAAAGUCAAUAUUUAAAAGUUUUGACUAAUAGUUAAACUAACAAUAUGAAUGUUUAGUGUUAUGCAUGCGACAUCAUUAGAUUCGUAUUUGAAUGUGUUCAGAUGGUGUAAAUGUUAUAGUUUUUAAUAGUAUCUUAUGGAAGAAAUUAAUGGUAUUAUUGAAGAUCGUGUACAAUUAUAAUAUGCCUUGUAUUUUAGAAUAGAGGGAGUAAUUGUUAAUCCCUUUGUAUGGACUAUCAAACGAAAUGAGUGAAGGUGGCAAUUAAUUAAUAGGCAAAUAUUCAGAUACACACAAACACACCUUGUAUAACAAGGAGUAGAAAUAUUCAUAGCGCAGCACUGCAGCAUUACAAUCCUAGGUACAGCAGUUGAUACUAUUGUAAUGCCUGUGCGGCAUUCCAUUUAAUAUUACAAAGAUGACAACACAAUUCAAAGUACAGAAAGAUGACAUGUUCAUAAGCAUAUUGAAAAAUAAAACUUCUAUGCCAAACUUGUAUAGAAUUGUGCUAAAAUUGAUAAAGAACAGAUAUAAGACAACCAACAUGUUGCUCAAAUUAAUUCUAAUCAUUAUUGGCUCUCAGAUGUUGGGCUGCUGAAAAUACAGAUUUUCAGCCUCCUCAACUCAGGCGUUGGACUGCCAGAGAACUGGUCUCCUACCUCCACAACACCAGGGUCAAUUAUCACUGAUUAACUAUAUUCCUCAAUGUGUGAUACAGUAAACAGAAAACAGAGGUAACAGUACACACGUAAAUUGCCUACUGUAGGGUGUCAGAAGUGCAUAAAGGUCUAUUUAAUCAAGCAGUACGGUUGAGCAGAAUGUAUUCAGCUAAACAGACUAAGAAUCAAUGAUACAGGAUAGUAAUACUAUGUGUAAAUACUAGCAAUACUCUACAUUACAUACAGUAUCAAAAGCAAAUCUGAAGCACAAAACUAAAGCAAUUUAUUUAUAGCUGUUACCAGAUCAGAUAAUUAACUAGUAUCACAAGAAGAGCAAAUUUGUCGCUUGGCACAGGAUUAAGGCCACAUAUGCAACUAGAAUUGUCCUUUAAUCUCUAUAGACCCAUAUCGUCAUUGAGCACACAAGAAAGUAAGAUUUCCAAUAGAAUACUCACUGAUGAACAGGCACUCAAAGCCGUUUAGUGUUGCCGCUGUCCCAGAAAUCCAAUUGCCGCCGCUUGUGCCGCAGUCUCACCGGCAAGGAAGACGGAGAAUGUAGCUGCUCACGCCGUCUCCUCCUUCCUCCCAGAGACCAACACCUUCUUUAAGAGCAGGUUGUAGUGCUUGCACCCGUGGGAUGGACACAGACACCAAGAUGCACCAGCACCAUACAAGGUGAUUCCACCGACGACUCCGGCAAACAAGUCGCCGGCGAUCUGCAGAACCAAGGACUAGCGGAGAAAGAGGAGAAGUGGUUGACUCGGGUUUUCGUGCUGAUCGAGAGGUGGCUCAACUGAAGAAGAAAUAGGGAGAGAGAGCUCAGCCUCGCCGGGGAAUCCGCGCAUGAUGCAGCAACCAUCGGCCAGGGCCGUUGGUUGCGCCGCCGCCGCCUCCCUUAUAUGCCACUCUAAAUUAACCGGCUCCCUUAUAUGCCACUUCAAAUUGGCUUAUCCCUUUUAUGC